UUGAACGCUGGCGGCAGGCCUAACACAUGCAAGUCGAGCGGAUGAAGGGAGCUUGCUCCUGGAUUCAGCGGCGGACGGGUGAGUAAUGCCUAGGAAUCUGCCUGGUAGUGGGGGAUAACGUCCGGAAACGGGCGCUAAUACCGCAUACGUCCUGAGGGAGAAAGUGGGGGAUCUUCGGACCUCACGCUAUCAGAUGAGCCUAGGUCGGAUUAGCUAGUUGGUGGGGUAAAGGCCUACCAAGGCGACGAUCCGUAACUGGUCUGAGAGGAUGAUCAGUCACACUGGAACUGAGACACGGUCCAGACUCCUACGGGAGGCAGCAGUGGGGAAUAUUGGACAAUGGGCGAAAGCCUGAUCCAGACAUGCCGCGUGUGUGAAGAAGGUCUUCGGAUUGUAAAGCACUUUAAGUUGGGAGGAAGGGCAGUAAGUUAAUACCUUGCUGUUUUGACGUUACCAACAGAAUAAGCACCGGCUAACUUCGUG
rnacentral:rRNA from 1 species